rnacentral:rRNA from 1 species
CGAGCGGUAACAGGGGAGCUUGCUCCUGCUGACGAGCGGCGGACGGGUGAGUAACGCGUAGGAAUCUGCCUAGUAGAGGGGGACAACAUGUGGAAACGCAUGCUAAUACCGCAUACGCCCUGAGGGGGAAAGGAGGGGACUCUUCGGAGCCUUCCGCUAUUAGAUGAGCCUGCGUGAGAUUAGCUAGUUGGUAGGGUAAAGGCCUACCAAGGCGACGAUCUCUAACUGGUCUGAGAGGAUGACCAGUCACACUGGGACUGAGACACGGCCCAGACUCCUACGGGAGGCAGCAGUGGGGAAUAUUGGACAAUGGGCGCAAGCCUGAUCCAGCCAUGCCGCGUGUGUGAAGAAGGCCUUAGGGUUGUAAAGCACUUUCAGGGGUGAGGAAGAGUAGUGGAUUAAUACUUCAUUGCUUUGACGUUAGCCCCAGAAGAAGCACCGGCUAACUCUGUGCCAGCAGCCGCGGUAAUACAGAGGGUGCAAGCGUUAAUCGGAAUUACUGGGCGUAAAGCGCGCGUAGGUGGUUUGUUAAGUCGGAUGUGAAUCCCAGGGCUCAACCUUGGAAUGGCACCCGAUACUGGCUAGCUAG